rnacentral:hammerhead_ribozyme from 1 species
AUCCAGCUAACGAGUUCCAAAUAGGAUGAAACGCGUUUCCUAGAU